rnacentral:lncRNA from 1 species
GGUAACGGCUGCGUUUGAAUCUCGACGUUGAAAGGAGACAUGAUGGGGAAAGCAAUUAUGCUGCAAAACGGAGCCUGUGUUUACAGAACAGAGCAGCAGGGGAUUGCUCACACUAACUCUGUGCUUGUGGAGCUGUAUCAGCCUGGCACCUAGAGCCUCUUAUGCGCAGAGAUAGAUUUAUUCUCAGAAGAGAGCUAAACACAGAGGAGUUUCUGUUUAUUUGAAAAGCAGAGACAGCAUUUCAUCAAGUGUUG